GACUGCAUAGCUCAGUUGGCAGAGCAUUGGGCUAGUAUUCCAAAGGUUGUAGGUUUGAUUCAAUGAUUCCCACCGUGGUC